rnacentral:piRNA from 1 species
UAACCAUGACGUUUCACUUGCCAGUUGG